AUUGAACGCUGGCGGCAGGCUUAACACAUGCAAGUCGAGCGGGCGAGGUUGCUUCGGUAACUGAGCUAGCGGCGGACGGGUGAGUAAUGCUUAGGAAUCUGCCUAUUAGUGGGGGACAACAUUCCGAAAGGAAUGCUAAUACCGCAUACGCCCUACGGGGGAAAGCAGGGGAUCUUCGGACCUUGCGCUAAUAGAUGAGCCUAAGUCAGAUUAGCUAGUUGGUGGGGUAAAGGCCUACCAAGGCGACGAUCUGUAGCGGGUCUGAGAGGAUGAUCCGCCACACUGGGACUGAGACACGGCCCAGACUCCUACGGGAGGCAGCAGUGGGGAAUAUUGGACAAUGGGCGCAAGCCUGAUCCAGCCAUGCCGCGUGUGUGAAGAAGGCCUUUUGGUUGUAAAGCACUUUAAGCGAGGAGGAGGCUACCGAGAUUAAUACUCUGGGAUAGUGGACGUUACUCGCAGAAUAAGCACCGGCUAACUCUGUGCCAGCCGCCGCGGUAAGAC
rnacentral:rRNA from 1 species